UACGUAGGGUGCAAGCGUUGUCCGGAAUUAUUGGGCGUAAAGAGCUCGUAGGCGGUUUGUCGCGUCUGCUGUGAAAACCCGAGGCUCAACCUCGGGCCUGCAGUGGGUACGGGCAGACUAGAGUGCGGUAGGGGAGAUUGGAAUUCCUGGUGUAGCGGUGGAAUGCGCAGAUAUCAGGAGGAACACCAAUGGCGAGGGCAGAUCUCUGGGCCGUAACUGACGCUGAGGAGCGAAAGCAUGGGGAGCGAACAGG
rnacentral:rRNA from 1 species